rnacentral:rRNA from 1 species
AUUGAACGCUGGCGGCAGGCCUAACACAUGCAAGUCGAGCGAGCGGCGGACGGGUGAGUAAUGUAUGGGGACUGCCCGAUAGAGGGGGAUAACUCCUGGAAACGGUAGCUAAUUCCGCAUACUAUCGGAUAACCCAUAUGGGAUUAGCUAGUAGGUGUGGUAAUGGCUCACCUAGGCGACGAUCCCUAGCCGGUCUGAGAGGAUGAUCAGCCAGACUGGGAAUGAGACACGGCCCAGACUCCUGCGGAGGCGGCAGUGGGGAAUAUUGCACACUGGGCGCAAGCCUAAUGCAGCCAUGCGGCGUGUAUGAAGGAGGCCCUAGGGUUGUAAAGUACUUUCAGUCGGGGGGCGUUACCGACAGAAGAAGCACCGGCUAACUCCGUGCCAGCAGCCGCGGUAAUUC